rnacentral:rRNA from 1 species
GACAGAGGGUGCAAACGUUGUUCGGAAUUACUGGGCGUAAAGCGCGUGUAGGCGGCAGCGUGUGUCGGGCGUGAAAUCCCACGGCUCAACCGUGGAAGUGCACUCGAAACUGCGCAGCUAGAGUCCUGGAGAGGAAGGUGGAAUGCUUGGUGUAGAGGUGAAAUUCGUAGAUAUCAAGCGGAACACCGGUGGCGAAGGCGGCCUUCUGGACAGUGACUGACGCUGAGACGGCGAAAAGCGUGGGGAGCAAACAGGGAUUAAGAA